rnacentral:tRNA from 1 species
GUUUCUGUAGUGUAGUGGUUAUCACGUUUGCCUCACACGUGAAAGAUCCCUGGUUUGAAAUCGGGUGAAAACA